rnacentral:tRNA from 1 species
UACUAAUAUGGCAGAAAAGUGCGAUGAAUUUAAGCUUCAUUAAUAAAGAAUUCCUUUUUUUAGUAU